rnacentral:rRNA from 1 species
AGUGAACGCUGGCGGUAGGCCUAACACAUGCAAGUCGAACGGCAGCACAGGAGAGCUUGCUCUCUGGGUGGCGAGUGGCGGACGGGUGAGGAAUACAUCCGAAUCUACUCUGUCGUGGGGAUAACGUAGGGAAACUUACGCUAAUACCGCAUACGACCUACGGGUGAACGCAGGGGACCUUCGGGCCUUGCGCGAUUGAAUGAGCCGAUGUCGAUUAGCUAGUUGGCGGGGUAAAGGCCCACCAAGGCGACGGUCCGUAGCUGGUCUGAGAGGAUGAUCAGCCACACUGGAACUGAGACACGGUCCAGACUCCUACGGGAGGCAGCAGUGGGGAAUAUUGGACAAUGGGCGCAAGCCUGAUCCAGCCAUACCGCGUGGGUGAAGAAGGCCUUCGGGUUGUAAAGCCCUUUUGUUGGGAAAGAAAUCCAGCUGGCUAAUACCCGGUUGGGAUGACGGUACCCAAAGAAUAAGCACCGGCUAACUUCGUGCCAGCCGCCGCAGUAA